UCAACAUGGAGUCAUUAUUAGUUCAAUAGUAGACACCUAUGAAAAUGGCUCUUCAGUAGAAUACAGAUGUUUUGAUCACCAUUUCCUACAAGGAUCUAGGGAGGCCUAUUGUUUAGAGGGAAUGUGGACUACACCACCAUUGUGUUUAGAGCCAUGCACAUUAUCUUUUGCUGAAAUGGAAAAGAAUAAUUUACUUCUGAAAUGGGAUUUUGACAACAGACCACAUAUUUUGCAUGGUGAAUAUAUUGAGUUUAUUUGUAGAGGAGAUACUUAUCCAGCUGAAUUAUAUGUUACUGGAUCUAUACUUAGAAUGCAAUGUGACAGAGGGCAGUUAAAAUAUCCAAGAUGUAUUCCAAGACAAAGCAAACAAACAACUGGAAGUGGUAAUCAAUUCAACAGGCCUUCUGAAUUGUCUGAAGUGAAAGCAACAUUUGCCAUUUGAUAUUUGUGACACUUCGGCAAAUGGAAAAAUAAAUCAAUUUAUAAGUGCAAUAUUUAAAUGUGCAAAAAUUAACCUAUAUGUUCUGUGAUAAGGACAAAAUCACACUUUCUCCUACUUCUCAAUAUAAGUUCAAGCACUACUAAUAAAGAUUGG
rnacentral:sRNA from 1 species